rnacentral:rRNA from 1 species
AAACUUUGCAAUACACGAAAGUGUGACAGGGCUAUCCCGAGUGCCAUCCGCUGAGGAAGGCUUUUACCCAGUCUAGAACGCUGGGGGAAUAAGGAGAGGGCAAGUCUGGUGUCAGCCGCCGCGGUAAUACCAGCUCUCCGAGUGGUGUGGAUGUUUAUUGGGCCUAAAGCAUCCGUAGCUGGCUAAGUUAGUCCUUUGUUAAAUCCACCGAAUUAAUCGUUGGAUCGCGGGGGAUACUGCUUGGCUAGGGGACGAGAGAGGCAGACGGUAUUUUUGGGGUAGGGGUGAAAUCCUAUAAUCCCAGGAAGACCACCAGUGGCGAAGGCUGUCUGCUAGAACGCGCCCGACGGUGAGGGAUGAAAGCUGGGGGAGCGAACCGGAUUAGAUACCCGGGUAGUCCCAGCUGUAAACGAUGCAGGCUAGGUGUUUGGACGGCCACGUGCCGUUCUAGUGCCGCAGGGAAGCUGUUAAGCCUGCCGCCUGGGGAGUACGAUCGCAAGAUUGAAACUUAAAGGAAUUGGCGGGGGAGCACCACAAGGGGUGAAGCUUGCGGUUU